GAUGAACGCUGACAGAAUGCUUAACACAUGCAAGUCUACUUCAUUCUACUUCGGUAGUUGAUGGUGGCGGACGGGUGAGUAACGCGUAAAGAAUCUGCCCUUUAGUUUGGGAUAACCUUUGGAAACGAAGGCUAAUACCGGAUAUUAUGGAGACGUCGCAUGGCGACUCCAUGAAAGCUAUAUGCGCUAGAGGAGGACUUUGCGUCCCAUUAGUUAGUUGGUGAGGUAAUGGCUCACCAAGACCGCGAUGGGUAGCCGGCCUGAGAGGGUGAUCGGCCACAGGGGAACUGAGACACGGUCCUUACUCCUACGGGAGGCAGCAGUGGGGAAUAUUGGACAAUGGGCCACAAGCCUGAUCCAGCAAUUCUGUGUGCACGAUGAAGGUCUUCGGAUUGUAAAGUGCUUUCAGUAGGGAAGAAAAAAAUGACGGUACCUACAGAAGAAGCGACGGCUAAAUAUGUGCCAGCAGCCGCGGUAA
rnacentral:rRNA from 1 species